AGUAUCAAGAUGGCGAAGGUGAGGGAGCAGUGCGGGUGAUCAGACGAAACAUUUCCACCUUUACCUCGCUGUGCACGGACUACCAAGCUCCUCCAAUGAUCUCGUGGGUGAUUUCACGCUUAGUGGUGUGAAGGUUUAGAAAGAAAGGCGUUUUCUUUUCUUUUCGUUUUUUUUUUUUUAUUAUUUGAAAACAUUUGAAGAUAGGAAAAAAAUUAGUGUUUUUUUUAAUUAACGUGGGAAAAAUUUUUAAUGUAGAGAAAUGAGAAGGAAUUAUGGGUAAGGAAAGAAAUUAAAUACGAAAUA